rnacentral:rRNA from 1 species
ACUAAGCGUACACGGUGGAUGCCCUGGCAGUCAGAGGCGAUGAAGGACGUGCUAAUCUGCGAUAAGCGCCGGUAAGGUGAUAUGAACCGUUAUAACCGGCGAUUUCCGAAUGGGGAAACCCAGUGUGAUUCGUCACACUAUCAUUAACUGAAUCCAUAGGUUAAUGAGGCGAACCGGGGGAACUGAAACAUCUAAGUACCCCGAGGAAAAGAAAUCAACCGAGAUUCCCCCAGUAGCGGCGAGCGAACGGGGAGGAGCCCAGAGCCUGAAUCAGCAUGUGUGUUAGUGGAAGCGUCUGGAAAGGCGCGCGAUACAGGGUGACAGCCCCGUACACAAAAGCGCAUGUGCUGUGAGCUCGAUGAGUAGGGCGGGACACGUGGUAUCCUGUCUGAAUAUGGGGGGACCAUCCUCCAAGGCUAAAUACUCCUGACUGACCGAUAGUGAACCAGUACCGUGAGGGAAAGGCGAAAAGAACCCCGGCGAGGGGAGUGAAAAAGAACCUGAAACCGUGUACGUACAAGCAGUGGGAGCACAGGUUUACCUGUGUGACUGCGUACCUUUUGUAUAAUGGGUCAGCGACUUAUAUUCUGUAGCAAGGUUAACCGUAUAGGGGAGCCGGAGGGAAACCGAGUCUUAAUUGGGCGUUAAGUUGCAGGGUAUAGACCCGAAACCCGGUGAUCUAGCCAUGGGCAGGUUGAAGGUUGGGUAACACUAACUGGAGGACCGAACCGACUAAUGUUGAAAAAUUAGCGGAUGACCUGUGGCUGGGGGUGAAAGGCCAAUCAAACCGGGAGAUAGCUGGUUCUCCCCGAAAGCUAUUUAGGUAGCGCCUCGUGAAUUCAUCUCCGGGGGUAGAGCACUGUUUCGGCUAGGGGGCCAUCCCGGCUUACCAACCCGAUGCAAACUGCGAAUACCGGAGAAUGUUAUCACGGGAGACACACGGCGGGUGCUAACGUCCGUCGUGAAGAGGGAAACAACCCAGACCGCCAGCUAAGGUCCCAAAGUCAUGGUUAAGUGGGAAACGAUGUGGAAGGCCCAGACAGCCAGGAUGUUGGCUUAGAAGCAGCCAUCAUUUAAAGAAAGCGUAAUAGCUCACUGGUCGAGUCGGCCUGCGCGGAAGAUGUAACGGGGCUAAACCAUGCACCGAAGCUGCGGCAGCGACGCUUAUGCGUUGUUGGGUAGGGGAGCGUUCUGUAAGCCUGUGAAGGUGUGUCGUGAGGCAUGCUGGAGGUAUCAGAAGUGCGAAUGCUGACAUAAGUAACGAUAAAGCGGGUGAAAAGCCCGCUCGCCGGAAGACCAAGGGUUCCUGUCCAACGUUAAUCGGGGCAGGGUGAGUCGACCCCUAAGGCGAGGCCGAAAGGCGUAGUCGAUGGGAAACGGGUUAAUAUUCCCGUACUUGGUGUUACUGCGAAGGGGGGACGGAGAAGGCUAUGUUGGCCGGGCGACGGUUGUCCCGGUUUAAGCGUGUAGGUGUGUGUUCCAGGUAAAUCCGGUUCACUUUAACACUGAGGCGUGAUGACGAGGCACUACGGUGCUGAAGCAACAAAUGCCCUGCUUCCAGGAAAAGCCUCUAAGCAUCAGGUAACAUCAAAUCGUACCCCAAACCGACACAGGUGGUCAGGUAGAGAAUACCAAGGCGCUUGAGAGAACUCGGGUGAAGGAACUAGGCAAAAUGGUGCCGUAACUUCGGGAGAAGGCACGCUGACACGUAGGUGAAGUGAUUUACUCAUGGAGCUGAAGUCAGUCGAAGAUACCAGCUGGCUGCAACUGUUUAUUAAAAACACAGCACUGUGCAAACACGAAAGUGGACGUAUACGGUGUGACGCCUGCCCGGUGCCGGAAGGUUAAUUGAUGGGGUCAGCGCAAGCGAAGCUCCUGAUCGAAGCCCCGGUAAACGGCGGCCGUAACUAUAACGGUCCUAAGGUAGCGAAAUUCCUUGUCGGGUAAGUUCCGACCUGCACGAAUGGCGUAAUGAUGGCCAGGCUGUCUCCACCCGAGACUCAGUGAAAUUGAACUCGCUGUGAAGAUGCAGUGUACCCGCGGCAAGACGGAAAGACCCCGUGAACCUUUACUAUAGCUUGACACUGAACAUUGAGCCUUGAUGUGUAGGAUAGGUGGGAGGCUUUGAAGUGUGGACGCCAGUCUGCAUGGAGCCGACCUUGAAAUACCACCCUUUAAUGUUUGAUGUUCUAACGUGGACCCGUAAUCCGGGUUGCGGACAGUGUCUGGUGGGUAGUUUGACUGGGGCGGUCUCCUCCUAAAGAGUAACGGAGGAGCACGAAGGUUGGCUAAUCCUGGUCGGACAUCAGGAGGUUAGUGCAAUGGCAUAAGCCAGCUUGACUGCGAGCGUGACGGCGCGAGCAGGUGCGAAAGCAGGUCAUAGUGAUCCGGUGGUUCUGAAUGGAAGGGCCAUCGCUCAACGGAUAAAAGGUACUCCGGGGAUAACAGGCUGAUACCGCCCAAGAGUUCAUAUCGACGGCGGUGUUUGGCACCUCGAUGUCGGCUCAUCACAUCCUGGGGCUGAAGUAGGUCCCAAGGGUAUGGCUGUUCGCCAUUUAAAGUGGUACGCGAGCUGGGUUUAGAACGUCGUGAGACAGUUCGGUCCCUAUCUGCCGUGGGCGCUGGAGAACUGAGGGGGGCUGCUCCUAGUACGAGAGGACCGGAGUGGACGCAUCACUGGUGUUCGGGUUGUCAUGCCAAUGGCACUGCCCGGUAGCUAAAUGCGGAAGAGAUAAGUGCUGAAAGCAUCUAAGCACGAAACUUGCCCCGAGAUGAGUUCUCCCUGAGACUUAGAGUCUCCUGAAGGAACGUUGAAGACGACGACGUUGAUAGGCCGGGUGUGUAAGCGCAGCGAUGCGUUGAGCUAACCGGUACUAAUGAACCGUGAGGCUUAACC